rnacentral:lncRNA from 1 species
GGUGAGCAGUUCGUGGGUGAGCAAGAGUACUUCUACGAGCAGGAUCAGCAGGACCAGUGUGAUCAAGGCAAGUAUAACAUGGGAUCAUCCUUGUUUCCUAAUAACUUUAAUCACUUAAUUCAUAUUGCAUGUGUCCCCUUGAUAAGGAUUUCCUAGUAUUGAUCUUAUACCUUGUCACCUAUGGUUAUGCAUUGGGUAGCUUAUGCUAGUGCUCCACUAAACCAUGAUCUUGUAAUUUGACUAAAGAAUUAUGCAAUAAACAUUAAAAGAUGACUUUUUAGCAACGUUGGAAAAAGUGGGCUAGAGCAUUGGGCUAUCUUAUGGUGCUCUAGUUUCUCUCCAUAAGGACUUAUCUGUAUCUGACCAUCCGGGACAUACAGUACAACUGUGAGGGCUACAUGGCUCUGGCUUCAGCUCAGUAUGAGGACCUUUUCUAGCUUGUUAGUGGUUACCCUUGUGGUGCAAGUGGGGGAUAGCAGACUGUGGAUUCCUGCGGGUGAGUCACACAGACUGACUAACGAAACCUAGCGGCCCUAACUUGUUAGACGAACCUUUGAAAGGCUUCAUAGUGAACCCUGCCGGCCUCCCUAGGAAGGGGGUUAAGAGAUUAGCUACCUCGGGCGAAAGGGUAAAUCACGACUCACAGUGAAAGUGUACAACCUCUGCAGAGUGUAAAACUGAUAUAUCAGCCGUGCUCACGGUCACGAGCGGCCUUGGACCAAUACAGAAUAAAUGAACACUAAUGGCAAUUCAUUAAAAGUUAUUAUUGUUUAUAUGUUGUUUAUGCUAUUCUUUAUUCAUUUUACCUGAUCAUGAGUUUACUAUGGGACUUGACAACUUGAUGCUACUCAAAUGCUAAAAUUGUGACAACUAAAAGCUACAUGCAGUUAAACCAGUGUCUAGCCUUCGAGCCUCAUGAACCCUAUGUUAUUCUUGCUGAGUACGAGAUGUACUUACGCUUGCCUUUACAUUUUAUUUGGAUAAAAAUCCCGGAUGGGUACCAGCUUGCAAGUUUGGAGAAGAGUUUAGGCUUGUGCUCAACCAGUCAGUUGUCCCUGUGGAUUUGGAGCUUUCGCCUGAAGAACGGAGUGUCUUUCCGCUGUUUGCUGACUAAGGUUAUAUCUUUUAUACUAAGUUCGUUAUAUAUAAGCAUUGACUAUUGAUAUUACCCCUUACUUGUAGCUAUAUGUGAGAUUUGACUUCCUGGGCUCACAUAUGGUGUGUAUCUGGUUUUGUUCUUAAAAC